UUAUGUCUUGCCGUAUAUUUCUCGGUAUUUAAAUUAGACAUUUUGCCACAUUUUUAGAAAACCAGCAAACACAAGUAUUUAAUUGCGACCAUUAGGCAAAUCAAGGAGAGCAGAAAAAUGAAUGGAAUUAUAUGAAUAUAUGAAUAUAAUAAAGAUAUAAGAAAAUUAAUAUUAAUACAUAGAAAAAUCAAAAUCCGACAAAAUUAUCGAAGCAGCGUGGUAAAUAAAGAACAUUGACAUUGUUUUCACAGAACCUGUGCCAGGAGAACAGCCAAUAUCGCGCAAGUACAUGAAUUAUUAAUUACUUUGUGCACAAUGCACAAUAGCUAAAGAAAUGUUGAUUACAUUUAAAAAAGAAUUUUAUUAUUUAGAAAAAAAAAUUUGAUGUGUUAUCAGAAACAUUGGCGGAGGCGGUGGCUCUUCUCAAGCUACCAUGAAGUUCCAAAUGCCAUGAAGUUCCCGAUAGAGUCGACGAUGGAGUGGGAGCAUUUCAACUCUAUCAUAACUCCAGAGCUCACCGAUUUCUAUGUGAAGUUAGUUGUUAUUUUUUCAUUAUUUUCUUUUAUUAGAUAAACAAAUUACGGAAAUUAAUGGGGACGAGCCGAUCAAUGGUAUGCAGUUUGAAAAAUGUGCUGGAUGAGAAGCUCAUUUUAGAAUACAACUAAAAUGGUGCUUCGGCGAAGAGCUCGCUAAAAAAUUUUUAAGAGUUUUUGCAAUGUCCUGGAAUCGGCGGUGAAGAUGAAAAUACCCAACGAGCGAGCAGAAAAAGUGAUUCGGAAGGCUAUUCACAACAUUAAGAAAAGUAAUUUUCAGAAGAGCUCACGAGCCUAAAAAUACAAAGCUCUGGCCUCCUAAGAAAAUAAUUAAUAAUAGUUUUUCAUAAAUAAAGCU